rnacentral:rRNA from 1 species
AAGGAGACUGCCAGUGAUAAACUGGAGGAAGGUGGGGAUGACGUCAAGUCAUCAUGGCCCUUACGACCAGGGCUACACACGUGCUACAAUGGCAUAUACAAAGAGAAGCGACCUCGCGAGAGCAAGC